GGGGGCGUAAAGGCUUCGACGGGGGUUAUGAAACAGGAUAAGCGAGUAGAGUUGUGCAAACUCUUAAAACGGCACACGUUUUAAAAUUAAACGACAAAAAUAAUUCACAAUUAGCAGCUGCUUAAUUGCUGCUCACCACCUCAUUGCAGCCUACGGCUUUGAGCUUGGUGUCGAUUAGUAGGAACGGCUUUUUCGCAUUGCCUUUGGCGUAAAAGUCUAUUUUAAAGGCUGCCCGCUCACAGGCGUGUUUGUUUGCCGGUGCCCGGGGAGAUUUUAUAACAAACUAUACUCGUAGAAAUUCCUGCGGAUUGAUUUUCGGACACGGGUUCAAUUCCCGUCGCCUCCACCA
rnacentral:tmRNA from 1 species